UUUAGUAGAAAGACACAUCAGGAGGAGCAAUGAUCUACAACUUAUAUGGAGGAGUGUCCUUAAAACUGUCAACUACUACCCAACUACUUGACGGUCAUUUACAACCAUCACAUAGUCAACUGUAAGGAGUGUAACGACGAGUGGACAGCGUAACGGCCAUCGCUCCGCCCUGUCAUCGCUCGUUACUCAAGGGUCAACAGUCCAACCUCACAGAGCGUUAACAAAAACCAACUGCCUAUACAUAAACAAGCUUACAGUGAAGGCAGAGCGGGUUUUCUCAGGCACACAUCGCCAGUCGUCCAAGAACCUUAUAAUCGACCCGCUUUUCGCCUCCUGGUGAAGCGUCUGUUCGAGUCUGGGUAUCGAAGCAGCGGAGUGAAUCCAGCGCUGGGCCGGGUGGUCAUUCUGGGCCGUGGAGCACCCGCCGGCGGACCUCCUGCCUCUGUUGCUGGCUGCUGCUGCCGUGGAUGAACCUCCUGUUGGUGCGGCCGCUGGUGGUGAGUGCUUGUGUGGGGCGGCCCAGUGUGUCGGUGAGGACAGGCUGAGGACGAGAACUGGGAGGCAUUGCAAACACCGCCACGGAGGAAAAUCUUCAAUACGUUGACUAACCCGAAGAGAAGUGAAUCCAAGCAAGGACGAGAAACACGUGUCUUGAUCCUCCCGUGACUCCUCUCCGUGUCCUGCUCUCGUGUUCCGCCUCCCAGCACGUGUCCAGGAAAUACAAAGGGAUGCGUGAACCGAACUCUCCCUCUACGCUGGGCGGUGGCUGAGUGGUUAGCGUGCUGGGCUCACAUUCACCACGCUAUGGACAACGUCGGUUCGAAUCCCCACGCUGGGAUUUUUCAGUCACCGCCGAGUGACUUAGGACUACCCACAUGCUGUCCUGAAGACCACCCAUCAACCCGGACUCUAGAAGAAACCGUCCUGUGAAUCAAGAAUGAGUUCCGGGGGGCAGCAAGAGCCAGGCAUAAAUGGCGCCACUAUAAAAAAAAUUACCUGCGCCACGACGGGCUUGGGUCCUCUACCUGUUUCCUUCGCCAUAUGCUCAGUACUUUUUCCUUUUGAUUCAUUGUCUCUUUCCUGUUUUUCUUCAUCUCUGUUUAUCCAUCUUUCAUUUACUUACCAUUUCUAUAGUUUCUUCCUCAUUUUUUUUUAUUUAUAUCCCUAUUUUCUUUUCUUAUUUGAUGUCCUCUACCUAUCUCCUUCCUUUUCUUUCCCUUUUUUUUAUUUACUUUCCCACUGUUACUCCACGACUUUGUUUCUUCCACUACUAAAUGCUACGAAGGAGUUGCACGAAGCUUCAAAAAUGCUGACAAAAGUGAUGUAAUGUUACCUUGAUCUCGGCCUAAUUCGCGCUUCCUUAAAUAUCCUGCUUGUGUUCUUUUGUCAUUACUCAGAUCAAGUGUGUCGUGAUGGGAGGAAAUACAGUGUUGGCUUAGUCUUGUAUUGCUGUGCUAGUGUUCUAAGGAGACUUUUUAUCACCCUCUUCGUCUGCAUUCGCGUUUUUACUUUGCCUUCACGCGCCAUUUGCAGGUGGUGGUGUUUUUUGUGUGUUUCCAGGUAUGUCUGGCGUUAGAUUUACCUGUUCUUUGUCGUGUUGCUGCAGUGAGUGUGUUACAGUGUUAGCGUGCCUGUUAUUUUACCUCCUACGUCAUGUGCCUGGAUUAAAUAGGAGACAACAGAGAUAACAGACACAAAGAACACAAACAACAGAAAAAAUAUUACCUUACACACAACCAC